GGAAUAUUGCGCAAUGGGCGAAAGCCUGACGCAGCAACGCCGCGUGGGGGAUGAAGGCCUUCGGGUUGUAAACCCCUUUCAGGAGGGAAGAAAUUGACGGUACCUCCAAAAGAAGCCCCGGCCAACUACGUGCCAGCAGCCGCGGUAAUACGUAGGGGGCGAGCGUUGUCCGGAAUCAUUGGGCGUAAAGAGCUCGUAGGCGGUUCAGAUAGUCGGCGGUGAAAGUCCGAGGCUCAACCUCGGAAUUGCCGUCGAUACUGCUGUGACUCGAGUCCGGUAGAGGAGAAUGGAAUUCCCGGUGUAGCGGUGAAAUGCGCAGAUAUCGGGAGGAACACCAGUAGCGAAGGCGGUUCUCUGGGCCGGUACUGACGCUGAGGAGCGAAAGCGUGGGUAGCAAACA
rnacentral:rRNA from 1 species